UUUUCUAAGAAUUUAUCCACUUAUCCAAGAAUUUAUGAAGUUUAAUCCUAUUUAACUGUUCUAGAUCAACUGUAAUUGACUACAGAUGGAGAAAAGGAGACUUAAUUAUCUCUUUGCUCUGAGCUUUGAAACCUGCCAACUUUUCUCUAUCUGCCCCUGGGCUCUGCCGAGCCAGAGCCCCCUCCUCAAUUAGCUCAUGUGGCUUCCCUAUCAUUACAGAAAGAAGGCUGGAAGUGGAGUGAUGGCUCCAAACGCAGCUACACAUCCUGGAAAUCAGGAAAACCCAACAACAAGCAGACGAACGAGAACUGCGUUGAGCUCUGGGCUGAGUCAGGUUACAAGAACUGGAACAAUGAGAACUGUGCAUCCUUGCGUCCGUUCUUCUGCCAGUGCUUAAUCUAGUGCACAUUUCUCCUGCUCCAGAGGGAGUGAAGCACCUGGUAAAGUCUGGAGAAGCAAGGAAGCCCCCCUGCCUAUCAAAAUCUCCGCUCUGCACCCCUUCGCUUCAUGGAUGCUUUCUGUAGCUUGGAUCUGACUUCGCUUGUUCUCAUAGGCCAGAAGGUCAAAUAAAUUCUCUCCAGCAUGA